AACCAUCAGUAAAACUGAACCUCCAGUACAAAUGCUGGAAUAAUUAUAUAAGACGAGAAGACCCUGUGGAGCUUAAAAACAAACUACGAACCCUCAUCGUAAUAAACGUUUUUAGUUGGGGCAACUUUGGAAACAAAAAUAACUUCCAAACACAUGGUCAAAUCCCAUAAACCGGCUAACAAGCCUAAACAAUAGACCCGGUCAUAAAACAUAACCGAUUAAUGAACCAAGUUACCCCAGGGAUAACAGCGCCAUCUUCUUUUAGAGUUCAUAUCAACAAGAAGGUUUACGACCUCGAUGUUGGAUCAGGACACCCAAAUGGUGCAGCCGCUAUUAAUGGUUCGUUUGUUCAACGAUUAACAGUCCUACGUGAUCUGAGUUCAGACCGGA
rnacentral:rRNA from 1 species